CCCUCGGUAGCUCAGUUGGAAGAGCGUGGGACUGUAAUGGAUACUUUCAUCCCAAGGCCACUGGUUCGAUCCCGGUCUGAGGGA
rnacentral:tRNA from 1 species